UUUUGUAGGGUUUUGCUUAAAAGAAGUUGAUCUUUAAUGGAGCCUCGAGUUGGAAAUUAGUUCUGUAUCGGUCGGAAAAUUGGUAGCGGAUCCUUAGAGAUCUAUCUCGGGGAUUAGGAGACCGUGGAAAGGUGUUCUCAUGUUUGGGCCUCCCGAAACUGGGAAGACACUUCUUGCUAAAGCAGUUGCUACUGAAUGCGGUACCACUUUCUUUAAUGUUUCUUCCGCAACUUUAGCUUCCAAAUGGCGUGGUGAGAGUGAACGCAUGGUGCGGUAUUUGUUUGAUCUUGCAAGAGCAUAUGCACCAAGUACAAUUUUCAUU